rnacentral:lncRNA from 1 species
CGUGUAUUUUCUGUAAAUAAGUUAUAUUUUUUGUUAAUAAAAUUUUGACUUUAUAUAAAAGUUAACCAAAUCCUUCGGAUAAGAGGUUUUUCCGGAUAAUGACUAUAGUUGACAUUGUGUGAAAAUACAUUGUAUGUCAAUGUUUAACCUCAGAGCAAUUAAUAUGCAUGCAAGUGGUCGGGGGAAAAGUACUAUUGAAGUUUCGCAGAGAUUUGGUGUGUGACAAGGUGAUGCUAAAACCAACUUCUCUUGAUAUUCUGCUUUCCGUGGGCGAAUCAUCAGUGAUGUUAUGAGACUUGCACCAGAAGGCAAAAUUGGUGCGUCUUUAAAUUAGAUUGAUUGAUUGAUUGUUGGUUGCUUAAAGUCCAGUGGCAAAUAUUUCAUGCAUGUUCAGGACGAGAACAAGUUAAC